rnacentral:rRNA from 1 species
UACGAAGGGGGCUAGCGUUGCUCGGAAUCACUGGGCGUAAAGCGCACGUAGGCGGAUCUUUAAGUCAGGGGUGAAAUCCCAAGGCUCAACCUUGGAACUGCCUUUGAUACUGGGGAUCUUGAGUCCGGAAGAGGUGAGUGGAACUCCGAGUGUAGAGGUGAAAUUCGUAGAUAUUCGGAAGAACACCAGUGGCGAAGGCGGCUCACUGGUCCGGUACUGACGCUGAGGUGCGAAAGCGUGGGGAGCAAACAGGG